ACGAACGCUGGCGGCAUGCCUCACACAUGCAAGUCGAACGAGACCUUCGGGUCUAGUGGCGCACGGGUGCGUAACGCGCGGGAACCUGCCCUUAGGUUCGGAAUAACUCCCCGUAAGGGGUGCUAAUACCGGAUAAUGUCUUCGGACCAAAGAUUUAUCGCCUUUGGAUGGGCCCGCGUUGGAUUAGCUAGUUGGUAGGGUAAAAGCCUACCAAGGCGACGAUCCAUAGCUGGUCUGAGAGGAUGAUCAGCCACACUGGGACUGAGACACGGCCCAGACUCCUACGGGAGGCAGCAGUGGGGAAUAUUGGACGAUGGGCGAAAGCCUGAUCCAGCAAUGCCGCGUGAGUGAUGAAGGCUUUAGGGUUGUAAAGCUCUUUUACCCGGGAUGAUAAUGACAGUACCGGGAGAAUAAGCUCCGGCUAACUCCGUG
rnacentral:rRNA from 1 species